AAUUAUAUUUGUAUAGUUAGAUUCACUUUUGAUUCAAAUAUCAAUUAUAUUUUUUUCAUGUAUAAAUCUUUUUAUCUAUAUACCCAAGUUUCUAAAAUUUUUUAACUAUCAUGAAAUACUUACAUCAACAAUAUGAUACAAUGGUAUGCAAUUAUGCUACUUAUUUGGUUUGAAAGUUAUCUAAUUUGAUUCUAAGCAAAUAAUUUCUUGUUCCAUGUAUUCUCUCCUAAUCUAGUAUUCCAAUCACAUCAUGAUAGGCUCAUGGCUAAAUAUUGGAUUGACAUAAUUUGAAUAACAAAUAUAUAAACUACUCAUUUGCUUUAAAAGUUUUCAUAUGAAA
rnacentral:sRNA from 1 species